UACGUAGGGGGCAAGCGUUGUCCGGAUUUAUUGGGCGUAAAGAGCGUGUAGGCGGCCUGACAGGUCUGCUGUGAAAACUCGAGGCUCAACCUCGAGAUGUCGGCGGAAACCGUCUGGCUAGAGUCCGGAAGAGGAGAAUGGAAUUCCCGGUGUAGCGGUGAAAUGCGUAGAGAUGGGGGAGAACACUCGUGGCGAAGGCGGCCAGCUAGACCAGUUCUGACACUGAGGCGCGACAGCGUGGGGAGCAAACAGG
rnacentral:rRNA from 1 species